CUUUGAUUCAAAGGUGUUGGUGGCCGACCGUCGGCAGUCUGUCGAUGUCGGCAAAACAGGGAAUCCGGUUUGAAUCCGGAACGGCCCCGCCGCUGUAACCGAGUGCUCACGGGCGACGCACCUCCUUUGCCAUUGUCGGGCCGGCCUCACACGCCGCUCUGAUGAGAAGGCCCGCCGCCCCAACUCGGAAGUCAGAAGACCUACCUGCACCGAAGUGGGCGU
rnacentral:ncRNA from 2 species